UCCCUGGUGGCCUAGUGGUUAAGGUUAUGGCAUUGUCACUGCUAUAGCUCAGGUCACUGCUGUGGUGUGGGUUUGAUCCCUGACCUGGGAG
rfam:Sus scrofa chromosome 15.